rnacentral:rRNA from 1 species
GACAGAGGGUGCGAACGUUGUUCGGAAUUACUGGGCGUAAAGCGCACGUAGGCGGACAUUUAAGUCAGGGGUGAAAUCCCAGAGCUCAACUCUGGAACUGCCUUUGAUACUGGGAGUCUUGAGUUCGGGAGAGGUGAGUGGAACUGCGAGUGUAGAGGUGAAAUUCGUAGAUAUUCGCAAGAACACCAGUGGCGAAGGCGGCUCACUGGCCCGAUACUGACGCUGAGGCACGAAAGCGUGGGGAGCAAACAGG